rnacentral:rRNA from 1 species
GACGAACGCUGGCGGCGUGCUUAACACAUGCAAGUCGAACGAUGAAGCCCAGCUUGCUGGGUGGAUUAGUGGCGAACGGGUGAGUAACACGUGAGUAACCUGCCCUUGACUCUGGGAUAAGCGCUGGAAACGGCGUCUAAUACCGGAUACGACAACCGAUGGCAUCGUCUGGUUGUGGAAAGAAUUUUGGUCAAGGAUGGACUCGCGGCCUAUCAGCUUGUUGGUGAGGUAAUGGCUCACCAAGGCGACGACGGGUAGCCGGCCUGAGAGGGUGACCGGCCACACUGGGACUGAGACACGGCCCAGACUCCUACGGGAGGCAGCAGUGGGGAAUAUUGCACAAUGGGCGAAAGCCUGAUGCAGCAACGCCGCGUGAGGGAUGACGGCCUUCGGGUUGUAAACCUCUUUUAGCAGGGAAGAAGCGAAAGUGACGGUACCUGCAGAAAAAGCACCGGCUAACUACGUGCCAGCCGCCGCCGUAACAC